UCUUGGAAAAAAAGCAGCAGGGGCCAUUCUGAUGGGAGCCAAACGGACAGCAGAGGUUGGGGGAUGCUUUGGAUUUGCCAGCACUUGGCCAUGGCUCAGCCUAGUCUCAGUUCACAAAUGAUUCAAGCCCUGAGCAAGCCAUCAGCUGGAACUGAGCAUCAGCUGCCCCCUGAGAUGAUGGAUGCGUGGAUCAUCACAGCCCACCCUUCACUCGCGUCACCUGUGUGGCCCUGAAGUAUGGCAGGACUUACAAGACGCUCUGGGCUCACGAAGUGACAUGUGUGCUCCUCGGCUGUCUGAAAACAUCGGCGGCUGUACUGCCACCUUCAGCUGGAGUGACCCUACUGGAGCCGUUAAAUGGAGAAUCCCUA